rnacentral:lncRNA from 1 species
AAUGGAUUGUCAUUGAAAAUAUUCGAGUUCCUGCGCCUUCAGCCAAUUUAGGUUUAAAUUUUAAAGGCACCAUUUAAAGGCCUUUGGGGUACGAGCGCUACAAAUGGGUAAUGCUGUUCCGUUGCUUAGAUUUUUACUUCCGAAACAGUCAACAGUUUUAUUUUUGUAUUUUUUCACUAUAUCAACUUUUAGCAGCGGAUUGAAACGCAUUUCAGACCAGCUUUGGCAGGUGCCUUACAGACCAACAAGUACGAGCACGCGAGUAUGCAAAAAUGUUUCCAACUUCUCCCACGAAAUAAACUGUCAAACCAUAAGACAGUCUGAGCCCUGGACUUUGAAGCCAGUAAAUAGAAAAAGCCAAUGGAAAAAAUGUUUCUACGAUUCCGCAGCAGUAUGCUCGUACUACAAGCCGCCGGUGAGAUUGUUAUGCAUUGGCAUAGAAAGUGUUUUUGUAAAUUAAUUGAUUUUACUGACCUUGGCACACCCCCCCAUUGUGCAUUGUGUGUUCUCUCAGUGUUGCAGCUUCCGUUCGACGUCAAGUUUGAUGGCGCUUUGCACGGUUUCAUUCUCGAUUUGAUUAUUCCGCCGGCGUGAUUUGCAUUUCGUGCUGUGCUGUGCUCUGUUGCAUCUUUCAGGUCGGAUGGCAUUAAUCAGAAACAACUGGCUCAAGGACGCUUUUGACAAUUCUCUCCUGCAUCUGUCUGCCCCCGCUCACGUUCCCAUUCCUGCUUCGACUUCAUCAGCUAUUGGCUCUCUCCUUUUUUCCCCCGACACUUGGCAAUAAAAUCAAAUGAUGCGGGCACCGUAAAGCUGCGCGCCUUGCCCGUUUUUUCUUUGUCGUAAAACUCUA